rnacentral:sRNA from 2 species
CGACCAAGGUUCGAUUCGAGCGCAGCGAGAAAGCGUUGCCGCAGGCAACGACCCGAAGGGCG